rnacentral:miRNA from 8 species
ACUCUAAAUGGAAGCACUGUC